GACAGAGGGUGCUAGCGUUGUUCGGAAUUACUGGGCGUAAAGGGCGCGUAGGCGGUCCGCUAAGUUCGGCGUGAAAGCCCCUGGCUCAACUGGGGAACUGCACUGGAUACUGGCGGACUCGAGUACCGGAGAGGAGAGUGGAAUUCCUGGUGUAGCGGUGAAAUGCGUAGAUAUCAGGAGGAACACCGGUGGCGAAGGCGGCUCUCUGGACGGAUACUGACGCUGAGGCGCGAAAGCGUGGGGAUCAAACAGG
rnacentral:rRNA from 1 species